AGGGAGUUAGUCUAAUCAAGACCUCUGAUUUCGGCUCAGAAGACCGUGGUUUAAAUCCAUGGCCCCCUU
rnacentral:tRNA from 1 species